UACGGGGGGGGCAAGCGUUGUUCGGAAUUACUGGGCGUAAAGGGCUCGUAGGCGGCCAACUAAGUCGGACGUGAAAUCCCCAGGCUCAACCUGGGAACUGCGUCUGAUACUGGAUGGCUUGAAUCCGGGAGAGGGAUGCAGAAUUCCAGGUGUAGCGGUGAAAUGCGUAGAUAUCGGGAGGAACACCAGUGGCGAAGGCGGCGACCUGGACAGAUAUUGACGCUGAGGUGCGAAAGCGUGGGGAGCAAACAGG
rnacentral:rRNA from 1 species